rnacentral:rRNA from 1 species
UGGGGAAUCUUGCGCAAUGGGGGAAACCCUGACGCAGCAACGCCGCGUGAGCGAUGAAGGCCUUUGGGUUGUAAAGCUCUGUCAGGAGGGACGAAAAGGUCCGGUUGAAUAGGCCGGACUGUUGACGGUACCUCCAAAGGAAGCCCCGGCUAACUCCGUGCCAGCAGCCGCGGUAAUACGGAGGGGGCGAGCGUUGUUCGGAAUUAUUGGGCGUAAAGAGCACGUAGGCGGCGCGGUAAGUCCUGUGUGAAAUCCCUCGGCUCAACCGAGGAAGUGCACAGGAAACUGCCGUGCUUGAGUGCGGGAGAGGAGAGUGGAAUUCCCGGUGAAGCGGUGAAAUGCGUAGAUAUCGGGAAGAACACCGGUGGCGAAGGCGGCUCUCUGGACCGUCACUGACGCUGAGGUGCGAAAGCUGGGGGAGCGAACGGG